GUGGUGGUGGUGGUGUGGUGGUGGGUGGUGGUGGUGGCUGGUGGUGGUGGUGGUGAUGGUGGUGGUGAUGGUAGUGGGUGGUGGUGGUGGUGGUGAUGGUGGUGAUGGUUGGUGGUGGUGGUGGUGGUGGUGGUGGUGGUGGUGGUGGUGGUUGGUAAUGGUGGUGUUGGUGGUGGUGGCUGCAGCACUGAGGUUUUGGCGAAGUCCAGGGGAUUCUGCUGGGCAGUCAGGGCUGCUGUGCUGCCUCCUGGUC
rnacentral:lncRNA from 1 species